rnacentral:ncRNA from 1 species
GCUCAUCCAGAGGGGUGGAGGGACCGGCCCUGCGAAACCCCGGCAACCAUCUCGGUAUGUGAGACCCGUAAACCAGGCGGGACGACCGAGGCAGGUGCCAACUCCGGCCUGGGGUCAAGGUGGCCACCAGGAAAGAUGAGG